rnacentral:rRNA from 1 species
UACGUAGGGGGCGAGCGUUGUCCGGAUUUAUUGGGCGUAAAGCGCGCGUAGGCGGCCGCGUAAGUCGGAUGUGAAAACCCGGGGCUCAACCCCGGGCGUGCAUUCGAUACUGCGCGGCUCGAGACAGGUAGGGGAGAUCGGAAUUCCUGGUGUAGCGGUGAAAUGCGCAGAUAUCAGGAGGAACACCGGUGGCGAAGGCGGAUCUCUGGGCCUGUUCUGACGCUGAGGCGCGAAAGCUAGGGGAGCGAACAGG